AUGAUCACUUUAGAAGCAAGUAUACCAAUAUUGGAGAACUGCAGAGGAGAUUGUCAUGGCUUCUGGGCAAGGGUGGCAUUCGAAUUCAUGGAGCAUUCCCUAGUUUAU
rnacentral:snRNA from 1 species